rnacentral:rRNA from 1 species
CCUACGGGCGGCAGCAGUGGGGAAUAUUGGACAAUGGGCGAAAGCCUGAUCCAGCCAUGCCGCGUGUGUGAAGAAGGCCUUCGGGUUGUAAAGCACUUUCAGUGGGGAAGAAAGCCUUGGGGCUAAUACCCUCGAGGAAGGACAUCACCCACAGAAGAAGCACCGGCUAACUCCGUGCCAGCAGCCGCGGUAAUACGGAGGGUGCGAGCGUUAAUCGGAAUUACUGGGCGUAAAGCGCGCGUAGGCGGUCUGAUAAGCCGGUUGUGAAAGCCCCGGGCUCAACCUGGGAACGGCAUCCGGAACUGUCAGGCUAGAGUGCAGGAGAGGAAGGUAGAAUUCCCGGUGUAGCGGUGAAAUGCGUAGAGAUCGGGAGGAAUACCAGCGGCGAAGGCGGCCUUCUGGACUGACACUGACGCUGAGGUGCGAAAGCGUGGGUAGCAAACAGGAUUAGAUACCCUGGUAGUC